AUUGAACGCUGGCGGCAGGCCUAACACAUGCAAGUCGAGCGAGCGGCGGACGGGUGAGUAAUGUCUGGGAAACUGCCUGAUGGAGGGGGAUAACUACUGGAAACGGUAGCUAAUACCGCAUACCAUCAUCGUUGCCCAAAUUGGAUUAGCUAGUAGGGUGGGUAACGGCUCACCUAGGCGACGAUCCCUAGCUGGUCUGAGAGGCUGACCAGCCACACUGGAACUGAGACACGGUCCAGACUCCUACGGGAGGCAGCAGUGGGGAAUAUUGCACAAUGGGCGCAAGCCUGAUACAGCCAUGCCGCGUGUGUGAAGAAGGCCUUCGGGUUGUAAAGCACGUUCAGCGGGGAGGCGUUACCCGCAGAAGAAGCACCGGCUAACUCCGUGCCAGCCGCCGCGGUAAUUC
rnacentral:rRNA from 1 species